rnacentral:rRNA from 1 species
GCGAGUGUGAGCGAAUCUCAAAAAUAACGUCUCAGUUCGGAUUGUAGUCUGCAACUCGACUACAUGAAGCUGGAAUCGCUAGUAAUCGCGGAUCAGAAUGCCGCGGUGAAUACGUUCCCGGGUCUUGUACACACCGCCCGUCACACCAUGGGAGUCAGUAACGCCCGAAGCCGGUGACCCAACCUACUCUGGAGGGAGCCGUCGAAGGCGGGACGGAUGACUGGGGUGAAGUCGUAACAAGGUAUC